rnacentral:lncRNA from 1 species
CCCUUCCUAGACCUUGUUUAAGGGCUGGCAGUAGAGGUGAGGGUCUCUCUCUCUCUCUUAGGAGAUCUCUGUGUACCUGAGACCUGCUAAAGAUGAGAAGGACAGGGCUAGGACACCCUCUAAGGAAGAUGAGGAAGCCUGCUCAUUCCAGCAGAGAGUGAGAUAAGCUAACAGGGAGACUUCUUUGAGGAGCAGGAACCAAGCAGCACAGGCAAGGACUUUGGAGGAUUGGUAACUUUCCAGGAGGACUCUGGCUGAUUUGCAUCCCCAUUACUGAAAUCAUCAUGGUUUAACAAACCAAAAGGAAAGCAGUGUCUUGGGCACUGGUAGCACCCUUAUGAUAGCAGGGCCACUGAGUCUAUAUUAUGGUUAAGUGAAGAGCUGUUUUGUGUGAUGAACACAUUCAUCUGUGUUUGAUAAGGGUAUUUAGUGGAUAAAAAUGCAUUUUUUUAGCUGUGUAAACUUUUUUGAUGAAGCUAUAUGAAUUUGUCCCCCACUUGUUAAGAACUGUGAAAGUAUGUAAAAGAAAGAGAUCAUCUUUUCCUCACAGCCAUUUCUUAGCAUAGAUUCUAAUUUCUUUCCAUAGUUGCAUUACUCAGCAAAAAGUCUCUUUCAAUUCUUUCAAUUUAAUCAAUUCUAUUUUUCAUUCCUUAUGAUAUAAGAAAGUGUCUUUUGUUCUUGUCUUCAUUCCUAUACUUUCUUUAUUAACAUACCUGGGAAGUCUAAGACAUAAUUAUGAUCUAAGCAUUGGUUUAAUGAGAGUUUUCCCUUGGAAUUUCUGUUUUCAUAGGUGCUGUGAAUUGUGAAAGGGUUCCACAGUUUGUUAUGUUCAUCUACCUGGGGUAUCUGUUGCUCUUCCCUGAUGUCAUAAACUAGAAGCAGCACUGAGAUUCUUUCCUGUGUUCUGAGUUCCCAUCUGGAUACAAAUUCCUUUAUUAUUUGUUGACCCAUGAAACUCUCACUACGAGCAGCUACUGGUAAAGAGAAAUCCUGUUAUGUUCCAUGUCAGUCUCCUGGGUACUUUGAAAUUUCUUACUUACAAAACAAAAUUCCUUCAAAAAGCCCAAGUGCCUUUUCUUCUUCAGAAUUAGGAACUCAGUUGCUGUGCUUAUUGGCAAGGGAAAAUAUUACUGUGGUUAUGUAAAUCAUUGAAACAUGGAUUAUUGGAGCGUUAAAAUCUCUCUCAACUUAUUCCGAUGUUAGGAAUUAAGUAUGACAUCUACAAAUGUAUCUGGAAUAGGUAAUUUCUGGGAUACAGCUGUAUAAAUGUGAAAAUUGCUACUAAAAAUAUUUCCAUAAGGAAAGCAUGGUAAAUUGAAGAACGACUGCUGUUUAAAAAUUACAUCCCUUUCUAAAGUGUGGUUCUGAAAUAUUGAUAAUCUGCAUGGAAGAGACUUCAAACAAUCUCCCUGCUACUUUUAUCUUUUUAACAAAGUAAAACUGAUAAAAGAGUGAUGCUAACAAUUGAUUUUAAAACUGAGGGUAAUAACCUUUUAUGUCUAAUGCAUUUAAAUAAAUAUAAUU